GUUUCUUUGUUUUUUAAAUAUAUACUUUCUUCAAAGUAUGGUAACUAAUGAUGUUUUUUUCCGGUGGGGACGGGACUUUUAUUUUGACGUUAAAAAUGACUUCCGUUGUAUUUCCUUGUGUAUUAAUGCUGGGUCGUACCAAAUCGAAACGAAACCACAGUGCCACGAGAGCGCUAGCUCAGUCUGUAGCUCAGUCUGUAGCUAUGACGCGUCUAAACAGAUUACUCCAGUGCAACACGUCCUGACAGCUAGUUACUGCCCAUGCACACCACUAGGUGGCGGUAAACCAUUAAAACCCCCUCUUCUCCCUCCCCCUGAGAGCUACAUAAUGGAAUGAUCCAAACAGCUUAACGUGUUAAUGUGAUCGAAAAACACGAAUUAACCCGCGCCGUGUUAAUGUAAACUAUUAGAGGGGGAAAUCGUACAUGUAAACGAGAAAUUAUAUUUACGUUUUUAUGUAAAUUUAUAUGUAUGUAUUCUAACGAGUUUUAAUUCAUAGCUACAAGUUGUUUGACGCAAGAUGGGAUCCUUUGGAGUGACGUCCUGCCGUAGCCCCUCCCCACGUGACGCGUUAGCUCCACCCACAGGCCUCGUUUCCUGGGCGAUACUGCAUUAGUAUGGAGCUCACAGGAGAGUGGGCUAGGUGAUUAGCCGAGGGUAAAGUGUCAUUCACGUCACGCCUAGCUAGCGAUAUUAUUGUGACUUAUGUCUGUGUUUGUUCGUCGGGAUGAAACGAGGCAUCGAAUUUAUUGACCCGGAAUAUUGGAUCCCGGUCUGUGGAUAAAUCAUUCAUUAGUAGAGUCAUGGCCGGACUGAUCAAGAAGCAGAUCCUCAAGCAUCUUUCCAGCGCAGCACAGCACACCACGUGCUUCUGGAACGUUUUAGACGCGAGUGUGACUCGAGUCGAGAGUCGAUGCAGCGUCUACCAGGAGAUUUUAGAGCACUUCAUGCUUCCGUCUGCUGACGAGCUUUAUGGAGGUGCUGAUUUCCUUCUCCAGCAGGACUCGACACCUCCC
ensembl:lncRNA